GAAACUGUUUUGUUGUGGAGAUUUUGUUCAAGCCAUGGAUCACCUCUGGUUCGUGUUUGGUGGUGGAGGGAAGAUCUUAAUUACUAACCCUACGCAUUUCUCUUUUUUUCUUUCUUUCUUUUUUUUUUUUUUUCUGGUUUUGCUUUUGGCUGUCAGCUAAGUAGAGGAAGGUAAGAGUCUUUGUUUGAAUUAGAGUGCCAAAAGACGGAAUAAAGAUGAAACAGUGUUUCAGUAUGCAGCCUGAGCUUUCAGCUGAUUCUCGUAGCCCUGAUCCUACCAUAUCCAGUACUAGUGGCACAGGACCGCUUCACAUUCUAUGAUUGCCUGAGGAAUAAAUUAAUGAGGUUACUGAGACACUGAACAUUUGCAUAUUCACGGAUGCUUAUUAGGUAGAAAGUGAAAGCCAGGUGCACUGAAUUUGGGGGAUAGAGAAUUUGUUAAGAAGUCACAUCUUUCCGUCCUCCAGAAAAGGGGUGUCCUGUCACUAAAAAUAAUAGGCAGGCAAAACUCCUGCUUAGUGAAUAUCUGAACAAUUAUGAUAUAAUGGAAAGAUAAGGCAAAAGAGGGUCUUGCUUGAAAGCAACAGAGAAACCAAGGCACUGCCCUUGUUAUAAGGAGACCUGGACGUGGUGGUUCUGGAGCAUAAAGGAGGCACAUGUUAUUUGCUGUCUUUGGAUUUUAUGCUUUAAUUAUGCUGGUGGUGUACACAGCUGAACAUGAUGCCUUUGUACCUAAUGCAAAAUUACCAAUUUAAGAAGACCUUUACAUUUGUAAAUAUUAUUAUUGACAGGCCACCCAUCCAAACUGGAACGGGGAAAAGCUUUUCUAAGAAAAUGGUGUCGAAACCUGAAUCACAGAAUUAGGCUUGACUGUCUCUCUAAGGGACAUCAGUACAUGGUUCUGCUGUUGGUGAUUUCUGCUGGGGCUGUGUGUGGAAGCACAUUGUUUGAGCUAUUUGUAUCUCAUUAUUGUGAGAAGUUUUUAUGCUGCUCUGGGUCAUGGCUUGGAGACUGCCUCCUCAGAGCUUAAAUGGGCAGAUUUCAUAUUCUUCCCAUCCUUGGGAAUACUUCAUAAAACAGAAUUACAAGAGUCCAUGUUUUUUUCGGAGCACCGUGCAGUGGGAGAGCCUGUCUUGCCUUUUUUUUUUUUUUUUUUUUUUGCUGUCGUUUUAUACAGGUAUUUUUUUUUCUUUCUAUUUCUUUUUUCUUUUACUUUUUAUUUCCUCUUUAAAGAAAAUGAUUGGCAGCACUCAACCUCAAGGAACUGAUCUAUCAAAACCAAGCUGGGAUAAGUAUUUCUUUGAGAAAUAAUAUAUAUUUACCAACAGGCUCUAUUCUGCCCCCUUGUUUCACAGCACCUUGAAUAUCACUUCCUUUUCCUGCCCAAAGCAGGAGGUAACCCUGUAUUAAAAGCAUAGUAGGUGUGUGUGUGUACAAUACACACAUACAGCACACAUGUCUCUAUUUAGAGAUUCCAUGAUAUGUGUUCUAUAUACACUUUACAGUCCCUUUUCUUAAUGUCAAAAAUAUAAUUUCCAGCGUCUAAAGAGUGUUUUCAAAGACUUUUGCCCUAUUUUUUAAAAUAGUGUCUAAAUAUGAUUAAGUGUCUUCCCAGAGAAAAGUCAAAGAGGCUCCUAGUGUUAAUUUCCAUAUUGCUUAAGACUUAAGCUUUUAAUUUAUUUUAUCAAGGUUGAGGGAGUAUAGUAAUUGUUGGAACAACGCCCUUCCAAAAGAAAUCGCCUGCACUUGUUUUUAAGUUCAAUUUGUUUUCUCACACAGAUUUUUGAUACACUCUUAAAUAAACUAGAAAUCACAAUUAUUUUAAUGUGGCAGAGUUGUAACCAGGAAAUUGCAUAUAUUUUCAUAAACUAGGCUGUUAUAGAUUUAUUAAUAUUUAUUAAUAACAUUAUUUUAAGAAAUUUUUUUAACGUCUUUCAACCCUGAAAGGGCCUGCUUGAAACAUACACGGCAGCAAAAUCACUGGAGUCCAGGGUUUUUGUCACACACACACACAGCACAGAUUUUUUUGAUUAUGUAGAUUUCUUUUCCUACUGCAGUUUCAUAUGCAAAGCAUGCAUCAGCCACAUCCAUGCUAUCUCCUAAAGCAGUCAUUCUGAAACCCAAUCUGGGGACAGUGCAGACUAAAUAAAAUUUCAUUUUGAUUUGGCCUCCCGCUGCGAAUGGGACUGCUUUGUCUCAGCCGACAGAACCAGCAAGCCAGAAAGGGAAUGAAGACAUUUGGAGAAGAAGCGUUUACUGAAAGGAGAUUCCUGGGCUGGAGGAAAACCAUGAUCUACAGUUCAUGUUGACAGAUAUUGUAUUUUUGGUCCUAGAUCUGACUUUUGAAAUGACUUAUCACAAAUUCAAAUUUAGCAAUCAUGAGUGAAGUACCCACGAUGUGCUAAGCAUCUACCUCUGCAGAUAGAAGAACACUUACUGUUCCUGAGCAUGGGAGGGAAUAGAAGUUCCUGGGUCCUGGCCUCACCUCAUCAGGCACUGCCAAAUUUGACACCUCCUUCCUGUUCACGGCAGUCCUUUGCGAUAGGGUAUUAGAUGCCACCAAGUAGCUGCAUAACUCACCCAUUUGGUCAGAGCCUGGGUCUAAGCCAGGUCUGACAGACUCCAAAGCAAGCCCUGUUUACAGCAUGACUGGGAUCCAGUGGACGAGGGAACUGAGCUGUCAAAACUAAGUGACUUGAUUGAGGCCAUGCAGCUGGCGAGGGGAGGACCAGGAUCUGAACCCAACUGGGUCUCCCAAGCCUGGGCCACUGAACCAUUUCACCUCUUGGAAAAACUUAAUGGUCAGAGUGGCCCACCCAGUCCAUGGACAGCAUGGAGUGGUAUGGUGGAAGAGGAGGGAAGAAAACCUGUGUAUUGUAAGUCAUAUUCUUCUAUGGUGUGAAGGUUAACGUAAGUUUUAAGAAAGUUUUUUUUUUUAAUUUUAUUAUAUGAUCUUGCUCUAAAGGGAUGUAAAUUCAGAUGCUGAAUUGCACACAUCCUUUCUCUUUCAUAUUUUCAAUAUUGAACGUAAUUUCAAUAUUUAACAUAAAACAAUGAGUACAUUGUCUCCACCUCAUUGUUUUUGGGUGGUGUUUGUGAGGAGCCUGCGUUCUUUGGAAGGAAGACCUUUCAGAUGACCUGACCAGUCCUCCUCUUCAGAACCCGGAUGCUGGCGAAGCAGUUUGAAUUUUAUGCUUGUGAAAGGGCUCCGUUGAUGAUUUUGAUGUCUGCAGCUUUCCACCCGUAUGACCAGACACAUUCUCACCAGCUCCAUAUAUCAAGAUAAGGAGGGGAAACCUGGUAGCUUUUCCUUCUGUUAACUGCUGGCAUCAGCUGAGUGAUGCAGACAUUUCUCUAUUAAGAACUGAGCUGAGACUGAAGCUUCAUUUUGUAUGAGACUGUGCAGAGGUCGUCUAAAGUCUCUCCCAGGUGUGGUUAUUAAGAUCCUGGAUUUGAAACUGUGACCUACUGGUUUGCCAGAUGCCAAGAACAAAUGCUCUGAAAUUGAUUUGCCAAAAGACAUGAUGAGCUGCUCUAACUUGCCUGGGAAGAGUGGAAUAUUUAACCUGUGGGUGAGACUCCCUCUUGCUACCUAUCAGCUUUGCCACUGCUCUGAUAGAGAAACAUCUUGGGAGCAGAGUUGGUAAGAGUGAAUCAGACGUAUCUGCCGGAAUAGGACUCGUGGCACCUGCUUGUUCGAUCCCUCAUUUCCACCCCCUCUAUCCUUUGCCUAUUGUCAGUCAUUGUGGUUGGUCCAUUCAGAAGAAUCGUGAAUAUUCAUAGCCACCCUAAUUUACCAAUAUAUAUUCAAUAAUGUCAGAGAUCUGUACAUGUGAUUCCUGAGCUUAUUACAGUAACAAGUUUCUCCAAUGCUACUGGGCAUAUUCUUCAUGUCUUUCUUUCCAGACUACUGACUCAAUUUAAGAUUACAUCCCUUGCCCCUUUGUGUGUAUUGCAUUUGCCCUGUAAAACUCAUUCCCUUCAUAUUGUAGGACAUCUAAAGACAUGGGGGGCAUUCCAAGACUAGGCAUAAGAUGUGUUUGAUGCCAUUCUUUUAACAUGAUUCACUCUUUCUUUGAUCUGUGAAACUCCCUAGCAUUCUGUCAUGGCUAUUGGGGUCCUGAGAGAGAAAACUGGAGCCUGCUUAAGUAUUAAUUGGUGUGGGAUGAUUUUUCUCCGCAUCACACUCAGGCUGCUCCCUCUGCAGUAUGGUGUGCAUCACUUCUCACAGCAUCACUGAGGAAAGAAAUAUUAAAUUAAGUAGGUUUUAAAAUUGCCCAUUGAACUCACAUCAUUAAAUAAUGCUAUAAGAAAUUCUUAAGCGGAGAC
rnacentral:lncRNA from 10 species